rnacentral:tRNA from 1 species
GGUGGCGUGGCCGAGUGGUUAGGCAGUGGACUGCAAAUCCACGUACAUCGGUUCAACUCCGGUCGCCACCU